CAGAGUGCGGAGUGAACCUCCUACUUCGCAAAGGAAGCCCCCACCCCUAACAACACAAGCCCGGUUCCCUGCUUGCUGGCUGGAAUACCUGUCUCCCAAGGGGCCGGAGCCAGUUUCCAGACUCCCUGGUGGAAGUGCUGACGUGGCUUUGGGCAGCUGUCUGGGGCCGGGAAGCGGGGCAGAUGUCACGCAGCCCAGGGGAGGAGGCGGCUCCCUGGGAGGGCGGGCAGGGCUUCUGGCCAGGCAAGACUACCUCCUCCCCCUUCGACCUGGCUCUGUCGGUCUGGAUCUGGGCGCAACCACUGAGCCCAGCUGACUCGCUCAGAGAAGGCUCCAGUUCCUGUGUGUGUGUGACUGACAGCCGCAGCCUCUCUGAUUCCUUCUCACCUCUCGCUCGAGAAUAAAGCACACCUACAUUGCACGGGCACUCAAGUGAAAGCAGGGAUGUGUAAAGCCUGGUCCCAAUGCUAGGCACAUUGUUGCUGCUCAAUAAAUGUUAGCUGUUGUUGUCUUU
rnacentral:lncRNA from 1 species